rfam:Polynucleobacter sp. VK13 genome assembly, contig: Ga0139086_101
UCGCAAUCUGUGCGUCGGUGGAGCCGAAGAGCAGAUGGUUUUCAACCCACUUCAUUUCGGAAUACCCGAGGAAAAGGUGAGCA